rnacentral:rRNA from 1 species
UACGAGGGGGGCAAGCGUUGUUCGGAAUUAUUGGGCGUAAAGGGCGCGUAGGCGGUUUUGUAAGUCGUGUGUGAAAUCUUCGGGCUCAACCCGAAGUCUGCACACGAAACUGCAGGGCUUGAGUAUGGGAGAGGUGAGUGGAAUUCCUGGUGUAGCGGUGAAAUGCGUAGAUAUCAGGAGGAACACCUGUGGCGAAAGCGGCUCACUGGACCAUUACUGACGCUGAGGCUCGAAAGCUAGGGGAGCAAACAGG